rnacentral:lncRNA from 1 species
AUGUGGGGUGUUGGUUGGAGGGGUGUUGGUGUUGGAGAGGUGUUGUGUUGGAUUGUGGGGUGUUGGUUGGAGGGGUGUUGUGUUGGAUGUGGGGUGUUGGUUGGAGGGGUGUUGUGUUGGAUGUGGGGUGUUGGUUGGAGGGGUGUUGUGUUGGAUGUGGGGUGUUGGUUGGAGGGGUGUUGUGUUGGAUGUGGGGUGUUGGUUGGAGGGGUGUUGUGUUGGAUGUGGGGUGUUGGUUGGAGGGGUGUUGUGUUGGAUGUGGGGUGUUGGUUGGAGGGGUGUUGUGUUGGAUGUGGGGUGUUGGUUGGAGGGGUGUUGUGUUGGAUGUGGGGUGUUGGUUGGAGGGGUGUUGUGUUGGAUGUGGGGUGUUGGUUGGAGGGGUGUUGUGUUGGAUGUGGGGUGUUGGUUGGAGGGGUGUUGGUUGGAUGUGGGGUGUUGGUUGGAGGGCUGUUUUGUGGGUUGCGGGGUCUCGGCUGGAGGGGUGUUGUGUUGGAUGCGGUGUCGCUCCGGCUGCGCUGUGGGUGCGCGGGCGCUCUCAGCGCAGGUGAGCCCCGUUCCCGUUCCCGCUCCGUUCCCGCCCGGCUCUCCCGACGGGCGCUCCGGGGUCCCCUGGCCUGCGCGCGCGGGGCGGAAGCGGCGGUGACGCAGGCGGGGGGGGGGGGGGGGGGGGGGGGGGGGGGGGGGGGGGGGGGGGGGGGGGGGGGGGGGGGGGGGGGGGGGGGGGGGGGGGGGGGGGGGGGGGGGGGGGGGGGGGGGGGGGGGGGGGGGGGGGGGUGUUGGUUGGAGGGCUGUUUUGUGGGUUGCGGGGUCUCGGCUGGAGGGGUGUUGUGUUGGAUGCGGUGUCGCUCCGGCUGCGCUGUGGGUGCGCGGGCGCUCUCAGCGCAGGUGAGCCCCGUUCCCGUUCCCGCUCCGUUCCCUCCCGCUCCGUUCCCGCCCGGCUCUCCUGAGGGGUUGGAGGGGUGUUGUGUUGGAUGCGGUGUCGCUCCGGCUGCGCUGUGGGUGCGCGGGCGCUCUCAGCGCAGGUGA